rfam:Populus trichocarpa scaffold_4_contig_179, whole genome shotgun sequence.
AUCCCAGAUAAGGUUGUUUUUCUGAUUAUAUGAUUCAUGGGAGGCGAAUAACAAAAUUUUAAUUUGCUGAUAGCACCUUUUGAUCUUAGAAAGGUGUUCUACUAGUAUUUCACCAUACAUGU